UUUACUGUAGUGUAAAGAGCACGUAAAUUUUUGGUGUUUAAAGUGUAAAAGUAGAC
rnacentral:tRNA from 1 species